rnacentral:tRNA from 3 species
GCCGUCGUGGCUCAGUAGGUAGAGCGUUCGGCUGUUAACCGAUUGGUCGCAGGUUCAAGUCCUGCCGACGGCG